AUUGAACGCUGGCGGCAUGCUUUACACAUGCAAGUCGAACGGCAGCGCGGGCUUCGGCCUGGCGGCGAGUGGCGAACGGGUGAGUAAUACAUCGGAACGUGCCCAGCAGUGGGGGAUAGCUCGGCGAAAGCCGGAUUAAUACCGCAUACGACCUUAGGGUGAAAGCGGGGGAUCUUCGGACCUCGCGCUCUUGGAGCGGCCGAUGGCAGAUUAGCUGGUUGGUGGGGUAAAGGCGUACCAAGGCGACGAUCCGUAGCUGGUCUGAGAGGACGACCAGCCACACUGGGACUGAGACACGGCCCAGACUCCUACGGGAGGCAGCAGUGGGGAAUUUUGGACAAUGGGCGAAAGCCUGAUCCAGCAAUACCGCGUGUGUGAUGAAGGCCUUCGGGUUGUAAAGCACUUUUGGCGGGAACGAAAAGGACUGUGCCAAUACCACGGUUCGAUGACGGUACCCGCAGAAUAAGCACCGGCUAACUACGUG
rnacentral:rRNA from 1 species